rnacentral:rRNA from 1 species
GUUUUUUAAGUCUGAUGUGAAAGCCUUCGCUCAACCGAAGAAGUGCAUCGGAAACUGGGAAACCUGAGUGCAGAAGAGGACAGUGGAACUCCAUGUGUAGCGGUGAAAUGCGUAGAUAUAUGGAAGAACACCAGUGGCGAAGGCGGCUGUCUGGUCUGUAACUGACGCUGAGGCUCGAAAGUAUGGGUAGCAAACGGAUUAGAUACCCUGGUAGUCCAUACCGUAAACGAUGAAUGCUAAGUGUUGGAGGGUUUCCGCCCUUCAGUGCUGCAGCUAACGCAUUAAGCAUUCCGCCUGGGGAGUACGGCCGCAAGGCUGAAACUCAAAGGAAUUGACGGGGGCCCGCACAAGCGGUGGAGCAUGUGGUUUAAUUCGAAGCUACGCGAAGAACCUUACCAGGUCUUGACAUACUAUGCAAAUCUAAGAGAUUAGACGUUCCCUUCGGGGACAUGGAUACAGGUGGUGCAUGGUUGUCGUCAGCUCGUGUCGUGAGAUGUUGGGUUAAGUCCCGCAACGAGCGCAACCCUUAUUAUCAGUUGCCAGCAUUAAGUUGGGCACUCUGGUGAGACUGCCGGUGACAAACCGGAGGAAGGUGGGGAUGACGUCAAAUCAUCAUGCCCCUUAUGACCUGGGCUACACACGUGCUACAAUGGAUGGUACAACGAGUUGCGAACUCGCGAGAGUAAGCUAAUCUUUUAAAGCCAUUCUCAGUUCGGAUUGUAGGCUGCAACUUGCCUACAUGAAGUCGGAAUCGCUUGUAAUCGCGGAUCAGCAUGCCGCGGUGAAUACGUUCCCGGGCC